rnacentral:tRNA from 1 species
GCAGGGGUAGCGAAGUGGCUUAACGCGAUUGGUUGCAACCCAAUUUUUCGCAGGUUCGAAUCCUGUCUCUUGCU